CUGGUCUUCCAGACGUUACCCCAUGAGAUCAAAGAGGGCAAGGCGUUGCAGGUUUACCGUGCUCUUCAACGUGGGAAUCAAUGAACAGCAGACAAUAGCAGACAGAUUCGGAGACAUCUUUGCAAGAGAGGAUAAACCAGAGGAACUUUGAGAUUUUAGACAGUUAUUACAAAUCACUAAGGGAUAAGGUGCCAUCAGAAUGUCUGCCAUGUUUUCAAACCCAGACGGACUUGAAAGAUUUACUUGGAACCCUGGGCCAGAAUGUAGUGACYAAGAAGAGAAAGAAUGUGGAGAUACUGUGGCUCGCUGGAACGAUCUGCCGGCGGCUGAACGGGAUCAGGUUCACCAGCUGUAAAAGUGCCAAAGACAGGACGUCGAUGUCUGUAACCCUAGAGCAGUGUGCCCUGCUGAGAGACGAGCACCAGCUCAACAAGGAUUACUUCAUACGAGCCCUGACUGCAUGCGGAGGUGAGAGAGAGAAACUCAACCUUAAAAGUUAU